CCUUGACAUCCAGAGAACUUAGCAGAGAUGCUUUGGUGCCUUCGGGGAACUCUGAGACAGGUGCUGCAUGGCCGUCGUCAGCUCGUGUUGUGAAAUGUUGGGUUAAGUCCCGNAACGAGCGCAACCCUUAUCCUUUGUUGCCAGCGGUUCGGCCGGGAACUCAAAGGAGACUGCCGGUGAUAAACCGGAGGAAGGUGGGGAUGACGUCAAGUCAUCAUGGCCCUUACGGCCAGGGCUACACACGUGCUACAAUGGCGCAUACAAAGAGAAGCGACCUCGCGAGAGCAAGCGGACCUCAUAAAGUGCGUCGUAGUCCGGAUUGGAGUCUGCAACUCGACUCCAUGAAGUCGGAAUCGCUAGUAAUCGUAGAUCAGAAUGCUACGGUGAAUACGUUCCCGGGCCUUGUACACACCGCCCGUCACACCAUGGGAGUGGGUUGCAAAAGAAGUAGGUAGCUUAACCUUCGGGAGGGCGCUUACCACUUUGUGAUUCAUGACUGGGGUGAAGUCGUAACAAGGUAAGCGUAGCGAG
rnacentral:rRNA from 1 species